rnacentral:tRNA from 1 species
GUCUGUAUGGCACAAAGGGUUAAGUGCUUGGCUACUAAUCAAAAGGUUAGUGGUUCAAAGCCACCUAGAGACA